AACGAACGCUGGCGGCAUGCCUAACACAUGCAAGUCGAACGAGACCUUCGGGUCUAGUGGCGCACGGGUGCGUAACGCGUGGGAACCUGCCCUUAGGUUCGGAAUAACUCCCCGAAAGGGGUGCUAAUACCGGAUAAUGUCUUCGGACCAAAGAUUUAUCGCCUUUGGAUGGGCCCGCGUUGGAUUAGCUAGUUGGUAGGGUAAAAGCCUACCAAGGCGACGAUCCAUAGCUGGUCUGAGAGGAUGAUCAGCCACACUGGGACUGAGACACGGCCCAGACUCCUACGGGAGGCAGCAGUGGGGAAUAUUGGACAAUGGGCGAAAGCCUGAUACAGCAAUGCCGCGUGAGUGAUGAAGGCCUUAGGGUUGUAAAGCUCUUUUACCCGAGAUGAUAAUGACAGUACCGGGAGAAUAAGCGCCGGCUAACUCCGUG
rnacentral:rRNA from 1 species